GCGUCGUUGAUACCCCUCUCUACCAUCCCCUCCCUCGUGGUCUCUCUCCUCUUUUUCUGAAAUUCAUUGUCCAGAUGUUGGGCCUUCUUGACUGGUGGUUUUCUUGCCUGCGCAAUUUUCUAUGUCUUUGUGUUCUACUUUAUAAUUUUCUCAAUUUGGCAAAUAUUCUAUCAAGUCAUCUUCAUUCAUUUAUUAUACUUUAAUUUCUAAGUGCUCUUUUUAAUCUCUGCUCUUUUUAUAACAUCGUGUUCUUUUUUCAUGCGGGUAGCUCCUCUUGUCUCUCAAGACAAAUUACGGGAUUUUAUUUUAAAAGGGCUUUCUAUGUAACCUGUGAAAAUUGAGGGAGGGAAGCAUGGCCGACGUGGUGCGGGAGGCCUGCAGGGGGCGCUCUCACGCCCACCCUCCGGGCCCAUUGUAGACCCCCCAGGAGAGAAGGGCGACUUACAACCAGCACUAUUUUGGCCACUUUCCCACCCAGUAGGAGAAGGGAAGAGUUUCUGUUCCCCAGCUCAUCCCCUUAGGGCCUCGCAACAGUUCACGCAAGAGAGGCUCACAACUCAGCCAAUGAGCAGCCAGGACAGGUGCUCCCAGCGGUGUGGGCCUCGCUGGCAAUGCCUGAAUAAGGGUGAUGCUCCAAAACGGUGGUUGGGACCAGGGGUCAGUUGCUGCCCACGGCAUAGGACGAUGGGGCAGGAGCCCAGCUGUUUCUUCCAAAGGGUAGGUUUGACCAAAUCUGGAAUACUUCUUCAGGGUGUCAGUGUCCACCAUCUUGAAACAAAGUAAUGAGUGAGGCCCUCACCCUACUAUGCCUAAUCCCAUGGUCCCUGUCUCACGGUUACAGAUACGGUGACUAAGACUCAGAGGGGCUGCGUGAGCUGCUCAGGGUCGUGAGUGCGGAAGGUGGAUUCGUACCCAUAUAGUCUGCCAGGCCAGGGUCGUCUCAGCACUCUGCAGUACUGUCCCAGCAGCCGUUAGUGCAGUUAUGGAGCGUCCCUCUAACUGCACUGAAAGAUCCGUAGUUCGGAGAGCCACUGGCAUUUUUAUCCUGUGGAAUGACUUGGGGAUUCCAUCUUUUUGACUGUAUUCUCUGACCCCUUGUAAUCAGAGAGCUCUAGGCCCUCUGUUUUCCAAAUGGAUGUCGGGGGAGGCCAUCAGGAGGAUGCGACGGCCGGUUAACCCUUGAGCUGGACCUGUGCGGUCGGAGGCACCUCACCCCUCCCCGCCCUUGGAAUGUGAGUUCCGCCUGCCUUCCCCACACUACAAGCUGCCCCGAGGACACAGCCUUGAGACAGUGAAGUGGUGUCGAGACCCUCUGGAUGGUACAGGACUGAAGCCAGAUGAAGCCUCUGCAUAAUCGUUCGUGCUAGUGAAUGAGUCGAGUGGUGAGAUGGGAAGGAGCAGAAGCUGAUUCCAGCCAGCAUCUCUGUGAGUCUCAGGCAUUGCUGUGCACACACGUCCCCCGGGAGCUUCCUGAACACGCAGCUUCUCAGACUCUGUUCUCAGAAACAUGCAUCUCGUGCACUUGGGGCGCUGGCCAGGAGUCUGCUCAUGUGCUGAGCAUCCCGGGCGAUUUUGGUGCAGGCGUUUGAGACCCACUCUUGAGAAGCACUGCUGUGAGGUGAUGAUUUUCACAGAAAACCAGGUUGUUGCACUUGCCGCAGUCAUGGAGGCAGUUUGGCUGUGGUGACCAACUUCCACAUAGCUACCUUGGAAACAGAGUUGGAACCUAGAAGAAAAUUUAAAAAUAAACCUCUUAUAACUGAGUAAUAAUCAAGAUGUAGAAACGAUUGAAAAAGUUACUCAUAAAAUUGGUUUGGAAUGCUAUAUCUAAAUAAUAAAUAAACCAAAGGAUCUGAUGCUCUUUGCAUCAGCAAACCAAUGAAUGUUGAUAUAUGUGAGAGAACAUAUAAAUGAGUUAUGAUGAUAAAAAAAUGAUUUUUCCAAAUUAAUCCUUUGCAGAAAACCCAAGGCCUUCCCUCCCCUUCCCCCCAACAGCAUGAGCAGCAGAGAUACAAGGAGCUUUCCUUGGCAACUAUCAGUUUAGUGUCUCUACUAUCAUUUCUGGCAUGUACAUCCUGUGUGCUUUACGCAGAUGGGGAUGAUUUAUACAUUGUCCAGUACGACUGUCCACUUGCACUUAGUUUCAAACCUGGUGAUGUGAUUCAGAAUCAAUGUAAAGAGAAAAAAAAUCCAGAGGCAAAAGAUUACAGUUUUCACCCUUUAUUGAAGUUUGUUCUAUUUGGGGCAAAGCCCAAGGCUGCUUGGAUCUUCUGGGCUUGAGCUCUAACAGGCCCAUGGGAGGUGAAGGUGCCACUAAGGGCACGUGCUGCUGCCGACCGUCUGUUUCUUCAUUGUGCAUUUUGUUACGGGAGCCAUAAACGCAUUUUCUUUCA